GCCCUGGUGGCUCAGUGGUUAAAGCAAUUGACUGCUAACUAAAAGGUGGGUGGUUCAAAACCACCAGUGGCU
rfam:Loxodonta africana unplaced genomic scaffold scaffold_3, whole genome shotgun sequence.